UGUAAUCCCAGCUACUCGGGAAGCUGAGGCAGGAGAAUCGCUUGAACCCAGGAGGCAGAGGUUGCGGUGAGCCGAGAUCACGCCACUGCAUUCCAGCCCAGCAACAUAGUGAGACUCCGUCUCAAAACAACAGCAACAAAAACCUGAAAAUCCAUGCCUAAUAAUCAAUAAUUCCCUGUUCCCUCUCCUUUGGCACCCACCAUUCUACUUUCUCUCUGUGUGAAUCUGGUGACGCUAGGGGCCUCAUAUAAGUGGAAUCACACAGUAUCUCCCCUUUUGUGACUGGCUUAUUUCAUGUACCAUAAUGUCCUCAAGGUUCACCCACAUGACAUGAGACGGGUGGAUCAUUUGCGAUCAGGAGUUCGAGACCAGCCUGGGCAACAUGGUGAAACCCCAUCUCCACUAAAAAUGCAAAAAUUAGCUAGGUGUGGUGGCCAGCUUACUUCCAAGUAAGUCCCAGAUACUUGGAAGGCUGAGGCAUGAGAAUUGCUUGAGCCAAGAUCAAGGCAGAGGUUGCAGUGAGCCGAGAUCGCACCACUGCACUCCAGCCUGGGUGACAGAGUGAGACUCUGUCUCAAGGAAAA
rnacentral:lncRNA from 1 species